GACGAACGCUGGCGGCGUGCUUAACACAUGCAAGUCGAACGGAAAGGCCCUGCUUUUGUGGGGUGCUCGAGUGGCGAACGGGUGAGUAACACGUGAGUAACCUGCCCUUGACUUUGGGAUAACUUCAGGAAACUGGGGCUAAUACCGGAUAGGAGCUCCUGCUGCAUGGUGGGGGUUGGAAAGUUUCGGCGGGUGGGGAUGGACUCGCGGCUUAUCAGCUUGUUGGUGGGGUAGUGGCUUACCAAGGCUUUGACCGGUAGCCGGCCUGAGAGGGUGACCGGCCACAUUGGGACUGAGGUACGGCCCAGACUCCUACGGGAGGCAGGGGUGGGGAAUAUUGCACAAUGGGCGGAAGCCGGAUGCAGCAACGCCGCGUGCGGGAUGACGGCCUUCGGGUUGUAAACCGCUUUCGCCUGUGACGAGGCGUGAGUGACGGUAAUGGGUAAAGAAGCACCGGCUAACUACGU
rnacentral:rRNA from 1 species